rnacentral:rRNA from 1 species
AUACGGGGGGGGCGAGCGUUGUCCGGAAUUAUUGGGCGUAAAGGGCGCGUAGGCGGAAUAGUAAGUCAGAAGUGAAAAUCAUGGGCUUAACUCAUGACCUGCUUUUGAUACUGCUAUUCUCGAGUGUGAGAGAGGAAAGCGGAAUUCCCGGUGUAGCGGUGAAAUGCGUAGAUAUCGGGAAGAACACCGGUAGCGAAGGCGGCUUUCUGGCUCGCAACUGACGCUGAGGCGCGAAAGCGUGGGGAGCAAACAGGAUUAGAAACCCCGGUAGUCC